CAGAGGUCCCAAGCGUUGUUCGGAUUUACUGGGGCGUAAAGGGUGCGUAGGUGGUGAGGUAAGUCGGAUGUGAAAUCUCCAGGCUCAACCUGGAAACUGCAUUGGAAACUACCUUGCUCGAGGAUUUGAGGGGGGGAUUGGAAUACUUGGUGUAGCAGUGAAAUGCGUAGAUAUCAAGUGGAACACCAGUGGCGAAGGCGAAUCCCUGGAAAAUACCUGACACUGAGGCACGAAAGCUAGGGGGGCAAACAGGAUUAGAUACCCUGGUAGUCCUAGCCCUAAACGGUGCUUGCUUGCUGUAAGUGGAAUCGACCCCACUUGUGGCGGAGCUAACGCGUUAAGCAAGCCGCCUGGGAAGUACGGUCGCAAGAUUA
rnacentral:rRNA from 1 species